AAAUAAGAAGCAAUUAUUGCACCCAGUUUCGACCUGGUCAUUUGAUGAUUUCAUCCUUAUUUA
rnacentral:tRNA from 1 species